AGAACGAACGCUGGCGGCAGGCUUAACACAUGCAAGUCGAGCGCCCCGCAAGGGGAGCGGCAGACGGGUGAGUAACGCGUGGGAACGUACCCCCCGGUUCGGAAUAACUCAGGGAAACUUGAGCUAAUACCGGAUACGGCUGAAAGGCGAAAGAUUCAUCGCCGGGGGAUCGGCCCGCGUCCGAUUAGCUAGUUGGUGUGGUAACGGCGCACCAAGGCGACGAUCGGUAGCUGGUCUGAGAGGAUGAUCAGCCACAUUGGGACUGAGACACGGCCCAAACUCCUACGGGAGGCAGCAGUGGGGAAUAUUGGACAAUGGGCGCAAGCCUGAUCCAGCCAUGCCGCGUGAGUGAUGAAGGCCUUAGGGUUGUAAAGCUCUUUCACCCACGACGAUAAUGACGGUAGUGGGAGAAGAAGCCCCGGCUAACUUCGCGCCAGCAGCCGC
rnacentral:rRNA from 1 species